rnacentral:lncRNA from 12 species
GCCAGUUGAAAAGAAAGCUUUACCCAGUGGCUUCAUUCACUCAAUGGGGUAUCAUGGACAUGUGGAUCUGGCAUUGCAUAAGGGCUGUGAGAAAUGUGCUUUCAGGGACUUUCUACUCUAGUGGAGAGGCCCAUGACUGAAAGAUGGAUGAAGACCAUGGAUAUGCAGACUGCAGGGACUCUGGCUCCUCCAAAGCAAAAUCAAUGCUCAGCUCAAGCAUCAUCCACAAGCGGCUGUCGUCUGGGGCUUGAAAGACAGUAA